GCCAAUGUGGUAUAGUGGUUUGAAUACUGCACUAUGACUCUGGAGACCAGGGUUCGAUUCCCCACUUGACU
rnacentral:tRNA from 1 species